AUCCAUCUGACGAGUCCAUAAUAGGACGAGAUGCGAGUCCUGGAU
rnacentral:hammerhead_ribozyme from 1 species